GACCUCGUGGCGCAGUGGUAGCGCGUGUGAUUCCAGUCCACAAGGUCAUCCGUUCAAUCCGGGUCGAGGUCA
rnacentral:tRNA from 1 species